rnacentral:rRNA from 1 species
UACAGAGGGUGCGAGCGUUAAUCGGAAUUACUGGGCGUAAAGCGUGCGUAGACGGUUAUUUAAGUCGGGUGUGAAAGCCCCGGGCUCAACCUGGGAAUUGCAUUCGAGACUGAAUAGCUAGGGUACGGUAGAGGGAAGUGGAAUUUCCGGUGUAGCGGUGAAAUGCGUAGAUAUCGUAAGGAAGACCAGUGGCGAAGGCGGGUCUCUGGACAGUUCCGUGACGCUGAGGCACGAAGGCCAGGGGAGCAAACGGG